AGGGGCAACAUUUGUAGCAAUACAAGAUGGCGACCGGCGCACGGGUGAGUAACGCGUAUGUAAUCUACCUUUAACCGGGGGAUAGCCCAUGGAAACGUGGAUUAAUACCCUAUAAUACUGAAUAAUGGCAUCAUUGAUCAGUUAAAACUUUGGUGGUUAUUGAUGGGCAUGCGUGCCAUUAGUUUGUUGGUGAGGUAACGGCUCACCAAGACGAUGAUGGCUAGGGGGUCUUAAAGGAUAAUCCCCCACACUGGUACUGAGACACGGACCAGACUCC
rnacentral:rRNA from 1 species